GUUCCCUAUAUGUCACUCACUCGACGUUGUGUCGAUGUAGUGAUACUAGGGGUCCCUAUAUGAAACACCAUAAUCAGCUGAACUGUGUUACAUGGAUUGGCGGUGCAGGUGCAGGCAGGCCACUGCGUGCCAAGUAAGAAGUGCACCGGCCCCAUCGUAAACUUCCCAAUGCCCCGUUCACAUUGUAUGGACCCUCGCCCCCCGAAAGCAUAGGGGGUCAGACGUGCCCACAAUGAGAACAGGCCGCACCAGCUGGUUCAGCCUUUUCUCUUCUUUCUUCUCCCGGAGAAAGAACUCACUUGAUUCCAGCUGGGGCCAAAACGUAUUCAUGUCGGGGUAGGUCCGUGUCGCGGAGACCACACCCUGCUCGAAGGGGAGGUAAUUGUGAGGAAAUACGUCUCAUGGGCUUACCGCUUCUUUAUCGGCAGUAUCGCAUGUGGAGAAAGUCCCCGUGGCAGGUCCUACCCGGAGGGGAUGGAGCUCUACAAACAUGGCAACCAGUGGAAGAGGGGACUCUGCCCAAGGGGAGACAAGGGUCUACCAUUAGGGAGACCGUACCAUGGAAGAUUACGUCAUAUGGGGUUACCGACAGGGAACCAAUGCAUAUGGAGCACCUAUCCCAGUACAGGGGAUGACCUGAACAGGGCAUACUGACACAAGUACUGGGCCUGGCAUUGAAUUCCUCCCCUGAAUUUGCUUGCCGCAGGUGCUGAGGGAGGAAUCCAGGGUUCAUCGAUCCCGGGAACUCACGUGGAUGAAAGAGCACACGUCUUCCCCUCAGAAGGGGAAAGGCACUUGUGUGCCAAUGGUACACCCGGCCAGCUGCCUACAUCCUUACCUGUUUGUACCUACCAACACACGGGAAUAAACUGGCUCAACCCGAAGAUUAUAAAAUCUCACGAAGGUACUGGGUGUUGCCCAGCCUGCUGCCCUACAGAUGUCUGUUAGAGAGGCACUGUUGGCCAAGGCCCAGGAGGAAGCUACGCUCCUGGUAGAGUGCACUCGUAGUCCCAAAGGGGACAGUGCACCCUGGGCCUGGUAUGCCAUCGCGAUGGCAUCCAUAAUCCAGUGGGCAAUCCUCUGUUUGGAGAGAGCGUUCCCCUUCUGCUGUCCCCCUAAACAGACAAAGAGCUGCUUGGAGCAUCUAAAGCUCUCUGUGCGGUCCAAAUAGAUACACAAAGCGCGUACCAGACACAGCAACGACAAGGCUGGGUCUUCCUCCUCCCGGGGCAGCGCUUGCAGGUUCACCACCUGAUCUUUAAAAGGGGUAAUGGGAACCUUGGGCACAUAGCCUGGCCAGGGUCUCAGGAUCACGUGAGAGUAUGCUGGGCUGAACGAUAGGCACAUAUCACUGUAUGCAUGCAGGUCCCCAACCCUCUUGAUGGAGGUGAGCACAGUCAGGAGGGCCGUCUUCAAGGAGAGGGCUUUCAGCUCAACUGACUCUAAGGGCUCAAAAGGGGCUUUCUGUAGGCCCAGCAGGACCAAAGAGAGGUCCCAUGAGGGAACGAGGUGCGGCCUGGGAGGAUUCAACCUCCUUGCACCUCUAAGGAACCUGAUGAACAGGUCGUGCUUCCCUAAAUACUUACCAUCCACUGCAUCGUGGUGUGCUGCAUAGCGGCUACAUACACCUUCAAGGUGGAGGGGGACAGCCACCCUUCCAACCUCUCCUGCAGGAAGGAAAGCACCAACUCUGUGGGUCUUUGCCUCAGGAAGAACACCAAUUCGUGAACAGAUGCCACUUCAAGGCGUACAGUCGCCUGGUAGAGGGGACCCUGGCCUGAGUGAUAGUGUCUACCACCAUGGGUGGUAGGCCACUCAGAUCUUCCACGUCCCAUCCAAGGGCCAGACGUGGAGGUUCCAGAGGUCUGGUCGUGGGUGCCUGAUUGUGCCUCGUCCCUGAGAAAGAAGGUCCUUCCUCAGGGGAAUUUUCCAGGGAGGGGCUGUCGCGAGGAGCAUGAGUUCCGAGAACCAAGCCUGGGUGGGCCAGUAGGGCGCUACCAACAGGACCUGUUCCUCGUUCUCCCUGACCUUGCACAAUGUCUGUGCAUAUAGACUCACUGGGAGAAACUCAAGCCGAGGAGGGCCUCAGUCAGGGAAUACCACAAAUGGGAGGAUUCCCAGGAGACAAACAGGUCUACCUGUGCCUCGCCAAAUCGACUCCAAAUCAGCCGGACCACCUGGGGGUGGAGCCUCCUCUGCAUACCCAACGUAGGACUGGUCAGCGAUGGGAGAGGAGGCUGAGCGUCCUCGUUUCCAGCCACAACCGCCUGUGCGUAGGUGUAUGUGCAUCACGGCCGGGUGUGUGGAGGUGGGAAAUCCACACCUGCAAUGCCCUGGCCAUGAAUGCUCGGUAUGAGGCUGUCAUAACCACAACUGCCCUUCGGGCGUGUGGCGAACUCAAAAAAGGGAACCAAGGAUUCUUCCUCCGGCCCUCCACUGGGGGAUGUGGCGCAAGUCUCCUCACCUCUGGGUCAUCCAUCUCAGGGGCGCUUAGAAGCCUUCCUGGGGUUCUUGGUCACGGACCGUGAGACGGGGGGCAUCAACUUCCUGCGGGGAGCUGUACGCCAGGGCCGAGCUGUUGGCUCAGGCUGCAGUGGAGCCGAUGUUGCCGCCGCAGGAGGAUCGCCAUGGCAAUGGGCAGACAGGGUGCGUGAUCUUGUACCAUGCCGGGGCAAGAUGAGCUGAAUGGCCUCGGUUUGCUGCUUUAUCGUUUGAAAACUGCUGCGCAAAGUCUUCGGUGUCGCCGAAAAGGCCAGCCUGGGAAAUGGGGGCAUCAAGGAAGCGAACCUUGUCGGCAUCCCUCAUCUCAACCAGGCUGAGCCAAAGGUGGCGCCCCUGGACCACCAACGUGGACAUCGCCUGCCCAAGAGCCCGCGCUGUGACCUUCGUCGCCUGUAGGGUGAGGUCGGUCGCCGAGCGCAGCUCCUGAAUUACUUCCGGGUCAGGACCACCCUCGUUCAGCUCUUUCAAUGCCUUGGCCUGGUGGACCUGCAGGAGGGCCAUGGCAUGCAGAGCAGAGGCGGUACUGUAAAGGCACUGUAAGCCUUUGCCAUCAGAGACGAUGUAAUCUUACAGGCCUUGGAUGGGAGCCCAGGUGGUGGUGCUCUGCAGGCACAAGUGCACCGAGAGUGGUGAGAGCAGCAGAACUCGAAAGCCCGGUCCGGGCAGUGAAAGGUGCCCGCCACGACUUUGUGAGUUCUUCAUGCAUGGGACGUUCUCCGCACUUAUCUGUGCGAGAGGGGGAGAAACCGCUGUGAUGCGCCAUGAAAUCCAACAGCCGCGGAGAUCGCUUGCUUUCUACAGAGGCGAAUGGAUUGGCAGUGGAAUACAUCAACACUGCUCAGCUCGAAGAAAAAAUCUGAAUGAGUGGUUGCACACCAGCUCCUUUUAUACCCGUAUGUCCGGGGGAGUGGCAUGCAAGCCAAUUUUCAUUGGCCUUUUCUCAAACAUCAGAGGUGUUUGGGGCUCCCAAGGGCGACCCCUAGUGUAACUACAUCAACACAACAUCGAGUGAGUGACAGAUAGGGAACAAGCAAGUCAAAAAUACUGUAAAUUUGCAUUCAGAAUAUUGAGAAACACUGAUGAGUUUUGAGUGCCAUGUUUGUUCUGAGCUCUACAGUGAUACCAGCCGCUGUGUGUUGAGAUGAUAUUGAAGAUGAGAGUUUCUUCAGUCUGUCCAGUCAGGUGCUUCAACUGUUCUUCAUUCUCUCUCUACCAGCACCGUUUUGCUCAGUGUCAAAUCAUCAGCAGGUGGUACAGCUGAGAACUGGUGAUCUAAACAGGAGAUAUUAAACUCUGCUCUGAGGAAGAGUCUCCUCAUAAACCCACAGUGAAGUUGUAUGUGAACAGAUGGAUGUGCAGAGUCAUCAGGAGGUGUUGAAGGGGAGCUCAGUGAGUCUGUACUGCUCUGCUGAGACUCUCUGCUCCUCUCCUCCAGCAACUCUCACAUGGAGCUCCACUCACAGACUACAGGAACAGCAGAGUCAAACUGAACUAAUCUCUUAUCUCAACUUCACUGCUACUCACCUUCAACAUACAGUCACUUUCACCUGCACUAUCACCUACCAGCUACAGGACAACAACAAAACAGCACACAACCUCACAUUACAUGUUACAUAUGCACACAAAAUCUUUCUCUCAUCCAGCUGUAACAGAGCUAAUGUCACUGAUGUGUGUUUAUAUGAGGUUGAUGGGAAUCCCUUUCCUAAACUGGAGUGGCGUCUAUCUGGACGUCUUGUAAUUAACUCUAUAAACACGUUGAUCAGUGAAGAGUGGUUGAGCAGAACAGUCUUGAGAAGCUCCAUCACUCUACGUCACUCAGUUACACACACAUCCACUCUGCAGUGAUCCACCACCAACACUCAUGGCAAUGACAGCAAAGAAUUUCAACUGAAUCUCUUUUCUCAGCCUCAGAAGAAAGAUGACAAUCUUUUAAUCUUCCUGAUUGGAGCUGCUGUUGGUCACCCAGCUGGGCGCCCUUCAUUGCUGUCAUGCGGAACAGCUGAAUGCCUCCAACGGGGCUUUGGAGGCCAUGGCAGCCCGUCUCACGGAGCUUACAUAACAGCUUCAACAGCUGCGGAGCACCCAUGAGCCUGCUUCUCCAGCCGCUCCCUCUGCUCCUCCUGAUGACCGGCCUGCCCUGCCGCAGUCUGAACCUUGCCUCAAUCCUCCUGAGCCCUAUAAUGGUGAGCCAUUAUCCUGCUGAUCAUUUCUAUCCCAGUGUUCUCAGGUUUUAUCCCUCCAGCACUCUGCAUUCCCCUCUGAGGCUUCCAAGGUGGCCUAUGUCAUCACCCUGCUGACUGGAUGGGCCCAUGAGUGGGGAACUGCAGUGUGGGAUGCUCAGGCCUCCUUCUGUUCCAGUUUUACUUCAUUUUCAGCUAAUAUGAAGAAGAUCUUAGACUGUUCUCUCCGGGGCAUGGAGGCCACUUGCCAGCUGUAUGACAUCAAACAGGGGGAGCAUUCUGUCUCGGACUUCGCAAUCGGAUUUUCGCAAUUGGACUUAGCGGCUUCUGGGGAUUGGAACAAGGGUGCAUUGUGGGAUGCCUUCCUGUAUGGGCUCACCGACCACAUCCUUGAUGAAAUCUAUGCCUUGGAUCUACCACCACACUUUGAAGACCUGGUCAGCCUUGCUAUAAGGGUGGACAACAAGCAAGCACUAUGCCAGUGCCAUCGUGCUUCUCGGCCCUUUGGUGCUUGGGCAGGACCCCAAUGUUCUGGCUCUGCCUCUGCCUUUCCUGACCUACCUUCUGACUUUGAACCCAUGGAGGCCGGCUGGACUCGGUUGGCAAAGGAGGAGAGUCAGCGACAUCUUACUCUGGGACCGUAUUGUGGAGGUUCUGGUCAUUUUGUCAACACCUGCCCAUAAAGGCGCUGCUCACCAGUAGUAAGGGGUGUUCUGGUGAGUGUGACUUCUGUGGAUCCGACCCCUUCACGCACUCCAUGCCAUACUGCAUUGUGAUAAUCUUCAACACCCCUGCUUAGUCUACAUCGACUCAGGGGCUGAGGGUAACUUCAUUGACUCUUCAUUGGCCAGACAUUUGGGUCUUCCAGUAACAGAUCUGGAUUUUUCUCUGGAUGCUAGCGGUCUGAGUGGCCAACCCCUGAAGAGAGUUACCCAAGCCUCCAUCCUGUCAAUCCUGCAGAUCUUUCUGGUGUUCCAGCAGUUAACCAUGACCUGCGAGGGGUGUUCAGUCCGUCUCUGACUGCGUCUCUUCCUCCGCAUCGCCCCUAUGAUUGUGCCAUAUAUCUGCUGCCUGGUGCUUCUCCACACCGAGCCAGCUUUAUUCCUUGUCGGACUUGGAAUGAGAGGUCAUGGAGAAAUAAAUUGAGGAGUUUCAGGUAGCCGGACUCAUUCACCCCUCCUCAUCGUCAGUGGGUGCAGGUUUCUUCUACGUGGAGAAGAAGGAUGGUUCGCUUCGGCACUGCAUUGACUAUCAAGGGCUGAACAACAUGACCAUCAAAAACAGGUAUCCCCUACCACUCAUGUCUACAGCCUUUGAGCUGUUGCAGGGAGUGGCCAUCUUCACGAAAUUGGACCUGCGCAACGCUUACCACUUGGUAUGCAUAAGGGAGAGGGAUGAGUGGAAGUUUAAUAUACCCACAGGACACUUUGAGUACCUGGUUAUGCCCUUUGGAUUGACUAAUGCCCCGGCCAUCUUCCAAGCUCUUGUGAAUGACGUGUUGAGAGAUAUGGUAAAUUACUUUGUCUUUGUGUAUCUGGAUGACAUACUGAUCUUCUCCCAGUCUCUCCAAGAACACACACAGCACAUCCGCCAGGUCCUCCAGAGGCUGCUUGAGAACCAACUCUUGGAGAAGUGUCAGUUCCAUGCACGGUCGGUUCCGUUCUUGGAGUUUUUUGUCUCCACUAAGGGAAUUCAAGUGGAUCCUGAUAAGAGAUGGUGGUGGCGGCAGUGUCGUGGGAGAUCGAGGCUCGGGUCAGGAGAGUGGUUAGGACGGUCACCGCCCUGGAGGAGUGUCCAGAGGGUCUGCUGUUCAUCCCUGUGUCAGUCUGACUGCCCGUCCUCCUAUCUCUCCCACCCCGGCUAGCUGAUGGGACCUAUAUAGUGUCCGGCGACUGUUGGAUGUCAGAAGGAGGGGCUGGGAUUUCCAGUACCUGGUGGACUGGAAGGGCAACAGACCAGGAGGAGAGAUGUUGGCUCCCGGCCCGGGACAUCCUGGAUCCAUCCCACAUUGACAAUUUCCACUGUUGUCACAGGUCGGCCACCCUGUGGCACUCCUGGGAGGGGAGGUACUGUUGUGUUUCUGGGGUGAUAUGCCAGUGAAAUUGUUCUUUUGUCUUUUCUCUAUGUUCCCUCAUGUGCCUGUUUGUUUUCAGGUUCCAUGUGCUCUCUCACCAGUUUCCUGUCUCGUUUUUUAACCCGUUCCCUUGUUUGCCUUGUUAUCAAUUCAGUAUUUCCACCUGUCUCCCUCGUUACCCUUCUCAUUUGUUCCCCUAUAUAUUGUCCUCAUGUUUUCAGUUCUGUGCCAGAUCGUCAUGUGUUCUCCUACAAGCUUUCCAGCCAUCUGAACAUCUUUCAGGUUAAUUAUGUUUUUCUCUGCCUUGUCUUAGUUGUCAGUCUGUUCCCAGACAAUUUCUCCUCUGACUGCUUCCAGGCAGCUACAGGAUCUUCACCUCCAAAGUCACGGCCCCUCUCCUCUGGUUUCCCAACCACCUGUUCUCUGCUGUGGAGUCACCUGCCUCUCUCCUGGGCCUCACUGCUUACCCUCAGCCCCUCACCCUACCCAGACCCCACCGGGCAAUCCACUCGACUUGCCAGCCAGUUCAGAUACUGACACAAAGGCAGAGAGCUCUGUAAAAGCUGUUGACCAUCAGCACAACAGCAACAUCUCAUCAACUUUGAUGGAUUUCCAGAAAGAUCAAACCAAACCAGACAGAGAGGCAAAGAUCAGAGAAGUGUCCUCUCAGCCAUCAUAAGACACUACAUAUGUAUGAAAAUAUCACCCAUCCCAAGACUGUUCCCAUAGGACCACAGUUGGUCAUGAGUGCAGAUGUAGUCACACACGAAGUGCUAUCAAAGGAAAGUGACUAAGCUACUAUAGCAGUCAGGUGAAUUUUCUGACCUUUAUGCACAAGUAAAAAAGCAUUGCUGCCAAGACUGCUAGAUCAUCACGGUUCCCUCAAAAUUCUUCAUUGAUUUUAAAAAUCUUUCUUUCUCAUUUAGAAAAUGUUCAAAUGGAAUGAAUGAUCAUGUUUCCAUUUUAAGUAAAACAUUUUUUAAUUUAAUUUAAUUAAAUUAUUAUGAAUGAUCAGUGCUGUGGGAAUAAUUUUAUCCAAACAUGUUUUGUUUAACUUUAUCAAAGACCACAAUCGAAGUAGUAUGUGAUUUUAAAUCACACAGAAAGUUUCAAAUCAUUAAUUUAUUCAAGAGAAAAACAUGAAGAAAUGUAAAGAUGUUUAUUCACAGAAAGAAUUUAUUAUACUGUAUGUGUUCUUCAUAAUGUGUGAAUAGCUAAUUCAUCUUUUUCUCACAGACUGUCUCUAAAUUUCCUCUCAUCUUCAUCUAAACAUAGUUUUUAGUGUACUUGAAACCUCAUUGUAAAUGUAAACCAUUUAUUUUUAUUUAUGCUUUAAUAUCAAUAAAGUAUCUACAGUACACAG